UAUACUGUGAAACUGCGAAUGGCUCAUUAUAUCAGUUAUCGUUUAUUUGAUAGUACCUACCUACAUGGAUAACCGUGGUAAUUCUAGAGCUAAUACAUGCUAAAAGCCUCGACUUCGGAAGGGGUGUAUUUAUUAGAUAAAAAACCAAUGCCCUUCGGGGCUUCUUGGUGAUUCAUAAUAACUAAACGAAUCGCAUGGCCUUGUGCCGGCGAUGGUUCAUUCAAAUUUCUGCCCUAUCAACUUUCGAUGUUAGUGUAGUGGACUAACAUGGUUUCAACGGGUAACGGGGAAUUAGGGUUCUAUUCCGGAGAGGGAGCCUGAGAAACGGCUACCACAUCCAAGGAAGGCAGCAGGCGCGCAAAUUACCCAAUCCCGAUACGGGGAGGUAGUGACAAUAAAUACUGAUACAGGGCUCUUUUGGGUCUUGUAAUUGGAAUGAGUACAGUUUAAAUCCCUUAACGAGGAACAAUUGGAGGGCAAGUCUGGUGCCAGCAGCCGCGGUAAUUCCAGCUCCAAUAGCGUAUAUUAAAGUUGUUGCAGUUAAAAAGCUCGUAGUUGAACCUUGGGCCUGGCUGGCCGGUCCGCCUCACCGCGUGCACUGGUCCGGCCGGGUCUUUCCUUCUGGGGAACCGCAUGCCCUUCAUUGGGUGUGUUGGGGAUCCAGGACUUUUACUUUGAAAAAAUUAGAGUGUUCAAAGCAGGCCUAUGCUCGAAUACAUUAGCAUGGAAUAAUAGAAUAGGACGUGUGGUUCUAUUUUGUUGGUUUCUAGGACCGCCGUAAUGAUUAAUAGGGAUAGUCGGGGGCAUCAGUAUUCCGUUGUCAGAGGUGAAAUUCUUGGAUUUACGGAAGACUAACUACUGCGAAAGCAUUUGCCAAGGAUGUUUUCAUUAAUCAGUGAACGAAAGUUAGGGGAUCGAAGACGAUCAGAUACCGUCGUAGUCUUAACCAUAAACUAUGCCGACUAGGGAUCGGGCGAUGUUAUUUUUUGACUCGCUCGGCACCUUACGAGAAAUCAAAGUCUUUGGGUUCU
rnacentral:rRNA from 1 species